rnacentral:rRNA from 1 species
UCAGGAUGAACGCUAGCUACAGGCUUAACACAUGCAAGUCGAGGGGUAGCAGGGUAGCAAUACCGCUGACGACCGGCGCACGGGUGAGUAACACGUAUCCAACCUUCCCAUAACUCAGGGAUAGCCUUUCGAAAGAAAGAUUAAUACCUGAUAGUACUUUUUCAAGGCAUCUUGAGAAAGUUAAAGAUUUAUUGGUUAUGGAUGGGGAUGCGUUCCAUUAGAUAGUUGGUGAGGUAACGGCUCACCAAGUCUUCGAUGGAUAGGGGUUCUGAGAGGAAGGUCCCCCACAUUGGUACUGAGACACGGACCAAACUCCUACGGGAGGCAGCAGUGAGGAAUAUUGGUCAAUGGGCGAGAGCCUGAACCAGCCAAGUAGCGUGAAGGAUGAAGGUCCUAUGGAUUGUAAACUUCUUUUAUAGUAGAAUAAAGUGAUCCACGUGUGGAUUUUUGUAUGUAUACUAUGAAUAAGGAUCGGCUAACUCCGUGCCAGCAGCCGC